UGGGGAAUCUUGGACAAUGGGGGCAACCCUGAUCCAGCCAUGCCGCGUGAGUGAUGAAGGCCUUAGGGUCGUAAAGCUCUUUCGCCUGUGAAGAUAAUGACGGUAGCAGGUAAAGAAACCCCCGGCUAACUCCGUGCCAGCAGCCGCGGUAAUACGGAGGGGGUUAGCGUUGUUCGGAAUUACUGGGCGUAAAGCGCACGUAGGCGGACCAGAAAGUUGGGGGUGAAAUCCCGGGGGCUCAACCCCGGAACUGCCUCCAAAACUAUUGGUCUAGAGUUCGAGAGAGGUGAGUGGGAAUUCCAAGUGUAGAGGUGAAAUUCGUAGAUAUUUGGAGGAACACCAGUGGCGAAGGCGGCUCACUGGCUCGAUACUGACGCUGAGGUGCGAAAAGUGUGGGGAGCAAAACAGGAUUAGAUACCCCUGGUAGUCCACACCGUAAAACGAUGAAUGCCAGUCGUCGGGGUAGCAUGCUAUUCGGUGACACACCU
rnacentral:rRNA from 1 species